GUUUAAAUACUUUAGUGGCGGACGGGUGAGUAACGCGUGAGGAGCUGUCCUAUGCAGGGGGACAACAGUUGGAAACGGCUGCUAAUACCCCAUAAGCCGAGAGGUAAAAGGAUUUAUCGGCAAAGGAGGCACUCGCGUCCUAUCAGCUAGUAGGUUGGGUAACGGCCGACCUAGGCGAAGACGGGUAGCCGGCCUGAGAGGGCGAACGGCCACACUGGAACUGAGAUACGGUCCAGACUCCUACGGGAGGCAGCAGUGGGGAAUAUUGGGCAAUGGGGGGAACCCUGACCCAGCGACGCCGCGUGGGUGAAGAAAUCCUUCGGGAUGUAAAGCCCUGUUGUAUGGGAAGAGGAAGACGGUACCAUACGAGGAAGCCCCGGCAAACUACGUGCCAGCAGCCGCGGUAAUACGUAGGGGGCAAGCGUUGUCCGGAAUUACUGGGCGUAAAGCGCACGCAGGCUGACUUAUAAGUCGGUAGUCUAAUGCGGAGGCUCAACUUCCGUUUAUCUAUCGAUACUGUAAGACUAGAGUAUGUGAGAGGGAAGYGGAAYUCCCGGUGUAGCGGUGAAAUGCGUAGAUAUCGGGAGGAACACCAGUGGCGAAGGCGRCUUCCUGGCACAAUACUGACGCUCAGUGCGAAAGCUAGGGCAGCGAACGGGAUUAGAUACCCCGGUAGUCCUAGCCGUAAACGAUGGAUACUAGUGUGGGUGUCGCAGGGCAUCCGUGCCGCAGUUAACGCGUUAAGUAUCCCGCCUGGGGACUACGGUCGCAAGACUGAAACUCAAAGGAAUUGCGGGGGCCCGCACAAGCGGUGGAUGAUGUGGAUUAAUUCGAUGCAACGCGAAAAACCUUACCACCCUUGACAUGUCCGAACCCUGAAGAGAUGGGGGUGCCCGAAAGGGAAUUGGAACACAGGUGCUGCAUGGCUGUCGUCAGCUCGUGUCGUGAGAUGUUGGGUUAAGUCCCGCAACGAGCGCAACCCUUAUCAUUAGUUGCUACGCAAGGGCACUCUAAUGAGACUGCCGGUGACAACCGGAGGAAGGUGGGGAUGACGUCAAGUCCUCAUGGCCCUUAUGGGUAGGGCUUCAACGUCAUACAAUGGUCGGUACAGAGGGUUGCCAAGCCGCGAGGUGGUGCAAUCCCAGAAAGCCGAUCGUAGUCCGGAUUAUUCUCUGCAACUCGAGAGCAUGAAGUCGGAAUCGCUAGUAAUCGCGGAUCAGAUGUCGCGGUGAAUACGUUCCCGGGUCUUGUACACACCGCCCGUCACACCAUGGGAGUGGAAUCUGGCAGAAGUAGGUAGCCUAACCGCAAGGAGGGCGCUUACCACGCUGGGUUUCAUGACUGGGGUGAAGUCGUAACAAGGUAGCCGUAGGGGAACCUGCGGCUGGAUCACCU
rnacentral:rRNA from 1 species